AAACCCUCUUGCGUGGCAUAUGUGGGAAAUGCCACAACCUUGCUUUGUUGUCAAACUCUCAUUUUCCUUCAACAACAUAAAUGGAACCCAUACACCAAAAUCUCUUCUUUCCUCUCACCUCUGUUCUGUCUGUUGAUUUCAAGCAACAUGCAGUCAUAUUUCAGUCUUUGUUCCUUCAUAAAAGUUGUAGAUAUUGUCGCGUUAUUGAAUUUAGACUCAAAAAUCAUCCAAUUCGGAGUUCGGAGCUAUGAGUUAUAGCCUUUGCAAGUUUGGUGUUGCUGCUGAACUUCUUGAUGCGUUGCUGCUACUGUAUGUUCGUUCUUGUUGUAGUGUUGUUCCGUGUGUGUGAUUGAUGUGUGGUUGUUAUUGGUGCUUGCAACCAUCAUUGUCUUCAUUUCUUUUGUGGAGGUGAAUUUCGGAGAAUGCUUUGGAGAAGUAUAUGAUUCAAGCUAAGAUAGAGGUCAAUGUUAUGAUUCUUGGAGGUUGCAUAUAAUUGUCUUUGGUUUAUCUUGAAGUGAAUAUCAUAUCGAGUUGUCGCCCCGGCCUCCUAUAUCCCAGUCUGAUGGAUUGAUGACUGCUUCUGUGAUUGGAGAUGGAGCUGGGUUUGAUAUGCCCCCUGUAUUAGUUCUAUUGAGGUUGAUCCUGUUCCUCUCCAAGUCAGGUUACUUGAGGAACUUAUAUCUAAGAACCAAUUCUUCCCUUUGUUUGCUGAGGAUAAUGUUGGUGCUAAUGAGCUAAUUCUAGUUAAAUCUGAUGCGGAAUUUGAUAAUUGUCUGCUUGAUGGUGCUCAGGAUGUUCUUCAAGUUUGUGUUGCAAUCCCGGCUUCUUCAUUUCAAUCUCUCUCUUCUGGGAGCUCAUUCGUUAGGAAGAUUGAAGCAAUGAGGGUUGAGAUAGAGGAUCAGAUGACUCUCCCCUCUCACUCUAGCUCAGUAAAGAGGAGGAAGAGUAGCUCUGGAGAUGAGAUUGCGGGUUCGUAGAGGAACCUUUUUGACUUGAGAUUGAGGUACAUUGACUGUGUUUGCUACUAAGGGACUUGAAGAUAGUUAGCUCCAGUUGGGUUAAAGAGUGCGUUGGAUCCCUUUUGUUUUAAUAGGACUUUUAAAAAGACUUCCGCUGUUAUUUAUUUAUAAAAUUUAUGUUCUGGUCUGUAAUAAUU